GGCCCGCUAGCUCAGUUGGUUAGAGCGCAUGCCUGUCACGCAUGAGGUCGACAGUUCAAGUCUGUUGCGGGUCGCCA
rnacentral:tRNA from 1 species